ACAUCCUAGACAGGGGAUCACUAGGCUCAUGGGUCGAUGAAGACCGCAGCUAACUGCGUGUUGUCAUGUGAACUGCAGGACACAUGAACAUCGACAAGUUGAACGCAUAUCGCACUUCUUGCUUUUUAUUCUAUUUAGUUAGAAUGGCUUGAGGUUCAUAUGGUUGAGUGCUAUUAU
rnacentral:rRNA from 2 species